rnacentral:lncRNA from 1 species
AUGAAGGCAUUUCUUGUCUGUGUUCUGCUCACCACGGUCGCCGCUGUGAGCUUUGCUCACCAUUUCGAGCUCUGUGAUAAACAAGACGAACCGCUGAAAAAUAAACUCCAAUGCAUUGGACUCCACAUCUCACAAGGGGCGAACCGAAGAUUUGAUAGGACGUUGAAAGCUCUCGGCUGCCAGGACAGGAGCUGUGUCAUCCGGAAG